rnacentral:rRNA from 1 species
GAUGAACGCUGGCGGCGUGCCUAAUACAUGCAAGUCGAGCGAACAGACGAGGAGCUUGCUCCUCUGACGUUAGCGGCGGACGGGUGAGUAACACGUGGAUAACCUACCUAUAAGACUGGGAUAACUUCGGGAAACCGGAGCUAAUACCGGAUAAUAUAUUGAACCGCAUGGUUCAAUAGUGAAAGACGGUUUUGCUGUCACUUAUAGAUGGAUCCGCGCCGCAUUAGCUAGUUGGUAAGGUAACGGCUUACCAAGGCAACGAUGCGUAGCCGACCUGAGAGGGUGAUCGGACACACUGGCACUGAGACACGGUCCAGACUCCUACGGGAGGAAGCAGUAGGGAAUCUUCCGCAAUGGGCGAAAGCCUGACGGAGCAACGCCGCGUGAGUGAUGAAGGUCUUCGGAUCGUAAAACUCUGUUAUUAGGGAAGAACAAAUGUGUAAGUAACUAUGCACGUCUUGACGGUACCUAAUCAGAAAGCCACGGCUAACUCCGUG